CAUGCAAGUCGAACGGAAAGGCCCUUCGGGGUGCUCGAGUGGCGAACGGGUGAGUAACACGUGGGUGAUCUGCCCUGCACUUUGGGAUAAGCCUGGGAAACUGGGUCUAAUACCGAAUAUGACUACAUGCUUCCUGGUGUGUGGUGGAAAGCUUUUGCGGUGUGGGAUGGGCCCGCGGCCUAUCAGCUUGUUGGUGGGGUAAUGGCCUACCAAGGCGACGACGGGUAGCCGGCCUGAGAGGGUGACCGGCCACACUGGGACUGAGAUACGGCCCAGACUCCUACGGGAGGCAGCAGUGGGGAAUAUUGCACAAUGGGCGCAAGCCUGAUGCAGCGACGCCGCGUGAGGGAUGACGGCCUCCGGGUUGUAAACCUCUUUCAGCACAGACGAAGCGUGAGUGACGGUAUGUGCAGAAGAAGGACCGGCCAACUACGUGCCAGCAGCCGCGGUAAUACGUAGGGUCCGAGCGUUGUCCGGAAUUACUGGGCGUAAAGAGCUCGUAGGUGGUUUGUCGCGUUGUUCGUGAAAACUCACA
rnacentral:rRNA from 1 species